rnacentral:rRNA from 1 species
UUGACCUCGGAUCAGGUAGGGAUACCCGCUGAACUUAAGCAUAUCAAUAAGCGGAGGAAAAGAAACCAACAGGGAUUGCCCUAGUAACGGCGAGUGAAGCGGCAACAGCUCAAAUUUGAAAUCUGGCUCUUUCAGAGUCCGAGUUGUAAUUUGCAGAGGGCGCUUUGGCUUUGGCAGCGGUCCAAGUUCCUUGGAACAGGACGUCACAGAGGGUGAGAAUCCCGUACGUGGUCGCUAGCUAUUGCCGUGUAAAGCCCCUUCGACGAGUCGAGUUGUUUGGGAAUGCAGCUCUAAAUGGGAGGUAAAUUUCUUCUAAAGCUAAAUAUUGGCCAGAGACCGAUAGCGCACAAGUAGAGUGAUCGAAAGAUGAAAAGCACUUUGGAAAGAGAGUCAAACAGCACGUGAAAUUGUUGAAAGGGAAGCGCUUGCAGCCAGACUUGCUUGCAGUUGCUCAUCCGGGCUUUUGCCCGGUGCACUCUUCUGUAGGCAGGCCAGCAUCAGUUUGGGCGGUGGGAUAAAGGUCUCUGUCACGUACCUCUCUUCGGGGAGGCCUUAUAGGGGAGACGACAUACCACCAGCCUAGACUGAGGUCCGCG